rnacentral:rRNA from 1 species
CUGGUACUGAGACACGGACCAGACUCCUACGGGAGGCAGCAGUGAGGAAUAUUGGUCAAUGGGAGAGAUCCUGAACCAGCCAAGCCGCGUGAAGGAAGACGGCCCUAUGGGUUGUAAACCUCUUUUGUCGGAGAACAAAACCCGGGACGAGUCCCGGACUGCGUGUAUCCGAAGAAAAAGCAUCGGCUAACUCCGUGCCAGCAGCCGCGGUAAUACGGAGGAUGCGAGCGUUAUCCGGAUUUAUUGGGUUUAAAGGGUGCGUAGGCGGUCCGUUAAGUCAGCGGUAAAAUUGCGGGGCUCAACCCCGUCGAGCCGUUGAAACUGGCAGACUUGAGUUGGCGAGAAGUACGCGGAAUGCGCGGUGUAGCGGUGAAAUGCAUAGAUAUCGCGCAGAACUCCGAUUGCGAAGGCAGCGUACCGGCGCCACACUGACGCUGAGGCACGAAAGCGUGGGGAUCGAACAGGAUUAGAUACCCUGGUAGUCCACGCAGU